GGCCCAAUGGCCAAUGGUGGCGCCCGCACCGCAUGAGGUAUAGUUGUUCACUGAUGCAAGUGGGAGGUCCUGGUUCGAUUCCGGGUUGGGUCA